GACGAACGCUGGCGGCGUGCUUAACACAUGCAAGUCGAACGAAGAGCGAUGGAAGCUUGCUUCUAUCAAUCUUAGUGGCGAACGGGUGAGUAACGCGUAAUCAACCUGCCCUUCAGAGGGGGACAACAGUUGGAAACGACUGCUAAUACCGCAUACGAUCUAAACUCGGCAUCGAGGAUAGAUGAAAGGUGGCUUCUACAUGUAAGCUAUCAAUGAAGGAGGGGAGUGCGUCUGAUUAGCGAGGUGGUGGGGUAACGGCCCACCAAGGCGAGGGUAAGGAGCAGGCCUGAGAGGAUGAACGGCCACAUUGGGACGGAGACACGGCCCAGACUCCUACGGGAGGCAGCAGUGGGGAAUCUUCCGCAAUGGAAGAAAGGCUGACGGAGCAACGCCGCGUGAGUGAUGACGGCCUUCGGGUUGUAAAGCUCUGUUAAUCGGGACGAAAGGCCUUCUUGCGAAUAGUGAGAAGGAUUGACGGUACCGGAAUAGAAAGCCACGGCUAACUACGUG
rnacentral:rRNA from 1 species